AUUGAACGCUGGCGGAAUGCUUUACACAUGCAAGUCGAACGGUAGAGGGGGCAACCCCUCGAGAGUGGCGAACGGGUGAGUAAUAUAUCGGAACGUGCCCAGUCGUGGGGAUAACGUAGCGAAAGUUACGCUAAUACCGCAUACGAUCUACGGAUGAAAGCGGGGGAUCGCAAGACCUCGCGCGAUUGGAGCGGCCGAUAUCAGAUUAGGUAGUUGGUGGGGUAAAGGCUCACCAAGCCAACGAUCUGUAGCUGGUCUGAGAGGACGACCAGCCACACUGGAACUGAGACACGGUCCAGACUCCUACGGGAGGCAGCAGUGGGGGAAUUUUGGACAAUGGACGCAAGUCUGAUCCAGCCAUUCCGCGUGCAGGAUGAAGGCCCUCGGGUUGUAAACUGCUUUUGUACGGAACGAAACGGUGAGCUCUAAUACAGUUUGCUAAUGACGGUACCGUAAGAAUAAGCACCGGCUAACUACGUGCCAAGCAGCCGCGGUAAUGUG
rnacentral:rRNA from 1 species